UCCAGGAAACUCCCUAAAUGUACUAACCUCGCUUUCUGGCUGAACCAAGAGGAUUUGGGUCCCCAGUGAGUAGUUUUGCUUCUUACUUUCUAACUGAAGUGUGUCAACCAAGAUGUGGCUUUUGGGCACAAAAGGCAAAGAAUGGUGAGGCUUGGGUCUGCAUGAUAUGGGCAAGUUCACCAUGCAUCUGCUGUGUCUCCUGGAGCAUCUCUCUGGAAUCUCCCUUUAUUCUUUCUCCCACUAUUUCCUGUCAGCGUCCCACCUCCUAUUUCCUGCCUCAGCUCAUUGGCCACUGGCUUUUUUAUCGACAGGUUUGUGUGCAUGAAUGCACGUGCCUGGGGAGACCAGAUGCGUCGGAUCUCUCAGAGCUGUGAGCCACCUUGGCUCUGGAAGAGCAGCAAGUAUUCUUAACCACUGAGCCAUCUCUCCAGCCACAGUAUCCUCUUCUGGAAAUGAGGAGUAUAAACAAGUUUUAAGCUUUUUUAAAAAGAACCUUCUUUUGUUUAGAUAGU